rfam:Felis catus isolate Cinnamon breed Abyssinian chromosome C1, whole genome shotgun sequence.
GCCUGGGUGGCUCAGUCGGUUAAGCAUCUGACUUCGGCUCAGGUCAUGAUCUAAUGGUUUGUGGGUUCAAGCCCCUUGUCGGGCG